rnacentral:rRNA from 1 species
UACGAAGGGUGCUAGCGUUGUUCGGAAUCACUGGGCGUAAAGCGCGCGUAGGCGGCUUAGCAAGUCAGAGGUGAAAUGCCAGGCUCAACCCUGGAACUGCCUUUGAAACUGCUAGCUAGAGUGUCGGAGGGGAUAGCGGAAUUGCUAAUGUAGAGGUGAAAUUCGUAGAUAUUAGCAGGAACACCGGUGGCGAAGGCGGCUAUCUGGACGACAACUGACGCUAGGCGCGAAAGCGCGGGGAUCAAACAGG